rnacentral:tRNA from 1 species
GAGCUGUAGACCAGGUCGAAGGCUGCCUGAGGCAGCUUCAGGGUUUCCAGGUCAGCAGUCCGGUAAACGAUCGCAUCGUCUUCGGUUUC